rnacentral:rRNA from 1 species
UACGGAGGGUGCGAGCGUUAAUCGGAAUUACUGGGCGUAAAGCGUGCGUAGGUGGUUUAUUAAGUUAGCUGUGAAAUCCCUGGGCUCAACCUGGGCAGGUCAGCUAAGACUGGUAGACUGGAGUAUAGGAGAGGGUAGUGGAAUUUCCGGUGUAGCGGUGAAAUGCGUAGAGAUCGGAAGGAACACCAGUGGCGAAGGCGGCUACCUGGCCUAAUACUGACACUGAGGCACGAAAGCGUGGGGAGCAAACAGG